CCUGCUUCUAGAGGCCUUGCAGGUGUGGCCGCUAUGUCACAUGUGCGCCAGCAGGUGGCAGCGAAGAGAGAGGCUAUGUCCACACUCAGGGUUCUGACCCGCAAGCAUCCGAAUGAUUAAUAGACUAACAUU
ensembl:snoRNA LOC120093979 small nucleolar RNA SNORA17